rnacentral:lncRNA from 1 species
AUGUUACACGAUACAACCUCGAAUAGAUGGUAUAGAAACUGUUGCAUUUUCUAAUUUAUGGCACAAAAAAAAAUUACAUGUUGAGAGAUACAACCAAGAAAACAAACGCCUCUAUUGGCCGAGGUUAGGCAUCAGUUAGUCUUGUUAAAUAGCACCAAUCAAGUUGCAAACAUUUUUUUUAUAUUUGAAAUAAUGAUGUCAUACAUGACAAACAUAUAAAAAGGAGAUAAGUUGGUCGUUGGGGUAGAAGAAUACGUCAUGGGAUGAAGUUUGUCUUCUUCUUUAGUGAUUCUUCACCAUAUUAUAGUAAUCCCUUUGACUAUACAGACUCAGUGGCAUAUUUAAACAUUGUUUAAAUUGAGGGGCCGAAAAUAUUAGAAAUUAACAUACAGUUCUUAGACAUUAAAAAGCCAAAGUGGAGAUGAUAUUUUUCUUGGUAUUGAUGAUGUGGUAAUUGGUAAGGCGACUAUGCCAAUGUCAUUCUAUUCUAUUCAAUUUUAUC